UACGUAAGGGGCAAGCGUUAUCCGGAUUUACUGGGUGUAAAGGGAGCGUAGACGGUGAGGCAAGUCUGAUGUGAAAACCCGGGGCUCAACUCCGGGAUUGCAUUGGAAACUGUCUGACUUGAGUACUGGAGGGGUAAGCGGAAUUCCUGGUGUAGCGGUGAAAUGCGUAGAGAUUAGGAGGAACACCAGUGGCGAAGGCGGCUUUCUGGACUGUAACUGACGCUGAGGCACGAAAGCGUGGGGAGCAAACAGGAUUAGAUACCCCCGUAGUCCCUGAG
rnacentral:rRNA from 1 species